ACAGCCCAUGGAAGAUGGUUCUGAAGGCAGCCGCCCAAAGGAGAUGAGACCACAAGAGCUGGUAAGACUUUCAACCAGAACCCAGCCUCGAUCCCUCCAUGGAAGAUGAGCUAGGUCACCACUGACCUGGCAUGAAUAGGAGCCAGUCAGCAAGAGGGGCACCUGGAAGAGUGCUGGAGAAGGAAAAUGGUUACGUCUAAAGGUGAGAGAGAGCAUGACAUGGAAGACGAGGCAGGUAGGAGCAGAAGGAUGAGACCGAGCCAAGGACGGUGCGAGAACCCGGAUGCUGGGCUGGGUUUUCCAGCCUCUCUCCAAGAGAGAGUGUUUCUCAAAGUGGAGCCUAGCUCUUUCCCAUCACGUUUGGCACCCUGAAUGAUCUGCUGAAACAGAAAUCCAUUUCUUUUUUAUUAUUGGAGAAUUCAUUUGUAAUCAUCAGUUUGGUUUAAAGAACACAGCAUGGAAGACAGAAUUUACAUCGACAUCACAAGGCUGCUGACUUGAGGAUGCUUGGAAUGAAGAACAGCUGAAGUGUUCCGUAUAACAGACUCACGGGAAGAUCUGCCCUAGACACUUCCUGCUGUGUACCCUGACCCACCCUACUCCCAAGAAAGACAAGCCGCCACAAAGUACCAGGUUAGAGUAUAAUCACCGAGUUCCCUCUGUGCAACCACCCAACUUCUAGGAAAGAGAGAGCAAGGAGAGAGAGACUGGACUUUUGAUCGAAGACUCAAUGGAAUGGGGGCAGUGUGUGGGUCCACAUGAUUUCUCAAGUCUUCCUUCUGCACAGUCGUUAGACUAACGCCCAGUGCUGCCCCUUUUAAAUUGAGGAGAGAAAAGAAAGAAAGACAGAAAAACCACACAAAUACUGCAAAGUAGAAAAAUACAAAGAAAAAAAAAGCUACUUUCGGUUUUGGCAACAUUAAAAAGGAUGAGACAUAGAGCAGAGGUGGCCCUGGCCCGGUCAUCAGGAAAGCUCAGCAAGUCAGCAGACCUGCCAAACAUCAAAGCUCCCUGAGGAAAAGCUCAGCUUUCAGGUCUGGGAGAGUUCUUACUGGAAUGUGACCUAUCACUGCCUGACAGAUCUGACAUGGAAUGUCUCCAAAUGGCAGUGUCUCCCUCUCUGCCCUCCCUGGCUGGGAGUGCGCCCAGGAGGAGCAGCCACCUUCCGUGGAGGUGGGCGAGCCUCGGGCAGCCAUCUUCGCCAGCUGCUGCUCCAACUUGGAAAUGCACUCGUCUUGACUGCAGGUUGUUUCCUUUAUGGAUUUGAUCUCUUUCAGAAUCUCAUCCACCUUGGCUUCGUUUUGCACACUGGCCAUGUCUGUGGGCUUCUUGGGGGCACAGUUGAGAUUGCUCUUCUUGUUUGCAGCCAGCUUGCCGUCCAGAAUGUUCUUCUUGACCACCUUGAAAUCCCCGUUCUUGCCUGGAAUGUACCCGUGCUUCAACGAUAUGAGGAUGGGGUCUGUCUGCAUUCUUCCCCCUCAAACCACUCCUCGGCCUCAAGGGCAACUUCCGGCCCCGCUGUGUCAGGGUACAGGUCGUCUUGGAAGAGGUCAGACUUCCUGGGGACCGUCAUGAUAAUGGGCUCGUACUAUCUCUCAUGAAGCUUGAAGAAUCUGGCAAUCUCACACUUGUUGACGUCAAGGCCCCGCUUGGGCAUGUAGCCCAUCCCUCACUGAGGCUCCUUGCCGCUGAAUGUGUGGAGGUAGUGGACAUAUGGGAAUUCAUCCGCGGACACUGCUGUCACCCUUCCCACAUAAGUAGAUGAUGCUGGUGUCUGGGUCGUAGAAGGAGAGCAGCACUCCAUUGCUAGUGUCCAUUUCAUGGAGAGCAUUGGUUUCUGCAUGUUUUUUUGGGUUCCAGAGCGUCAACUGCCGCUCGCUCAUGCGGCUAAAGCCAGUAGUGAAUACGUUGCCGUCCGCCAGGAAGAUGGCACGCAUAGGCCUGGCUCCUUCGUGUGCUUUCUCCUUCUCCACCGCCAUCUCCUGUUUCCUGGGGUCAAUGACUCUCAUUUUCUUGUCUUUGGAUGCUGUGCAGAUGAGACUACCGUUACAGCUCCAGCUCUCGUUGUAAAUCAUGUCUGAAUGCAUAUCAUCCAAGUUGAUGAGGGCUUCCCCUGUCCCCACGUUCCAGAUGAUAAUGACAUUAUCACAGCCUGCACUGAGAAGCACAAUGUGGGCCGUCGGGUGCCAGGCCACGAUGCCAACUCUUUUUGAGUGGCCUUCUAGAAUCACCACAGGCUCAGUCAGGGAAAGGGUCAGUCCAUUUUCUGGGAUCUGCCAAACCAUAACAAUGCAGGCCUCUGAGCCGCUGGCGAUAACCUGAUCGUUAUGUGGACACCAGUCUAUGUCCAGCACUGGUCCUGUGUGGCCACACACUGUAGGGUAGGAUUUGUCAAUUUGUCCCGUCUUGUGCAGAGGGAGCAUCAGGAAGGCCCCUCCCCUACUUGCUUCUAUGAUGAUGGCCACGAAUCUGGGGUUGAUGGCGCAAAAGGAACUGUCCCAGGUGACUCGGGAGACGCGGAUGUCAUCAUAGCACUGAUCAUUCUUCACCGCCUGUCCAAAGACAUGCCGGAACUUGCUCUGCCGCACCACUCGCCGCAUCGUGUCAGAGCCCGGGUGCCUGAGGCGCCACCGAAGUCCCUGCUGCAAAGCCCCGAGAAGCCUCCAUCCAUCCGCUGCCGCCUCCCGCCUGGCACUGAGUGCCGCGCGGGGGAGGGGCGCGGCAACCGCUGCCCAGUCCUUCGCGCAAGCGUGCAGGCCCUGCCCCCCUCAAAUCUUUGAAUUGGGUCAACAGACACUAACAUUAUCCAAAUGUAAUGGUUCUGAAAUAAAACACUGUAAGAUCAA
rnacentral:lncRNA from 1 species